GGCAGCAAGAAAGGUUCCCCAAGAAGUAAACAAAAGUGUCUUGUGAGGAGCGAUGCCGUCCUUUACAAAAAGUCACCGCACAUCAUGCUCACAGUAGUUUGACCAACCACCCUCUUGCCAUGUUGCUGUCUGAAGAUCCUAAUUCUGGCCUGCUCCUUGGGUAUCAGACAGAGUCUCACUCUGUUGCCAUCUCGGCUCACUGCAACCUCCGUCUCCCAUGUUCAAGUGAUUCUCCUGCCUCAGCUUCCUGAAUAGCUAGGACUACAGGUGGGUACCACUAGGCCCCCAUAAUUUUUGUUUUUAGUAGAGAUGGGGUUUCGCCAUGUUGGCCGGAAUGGUCUUGAUCUCUUGACCUUGUGAUCUGCCUGCCUCAGCCUCCCAAAGUGCUGGGAUUACAGGUGUGAGCCACCAUGCCCAGCCAGCAAUUAGCCAUUUUACAUAGCAGUUUUCAAGGCUAUGGCAGUCUGCAUCAGGCACUUACACUGAUGAAUUUUGAUUAUGGUAUAUAUCAUUCAAACUGUGCCUAUUUUGUUUAAAAGUAUUGUUUAUUGAAUACAUUACUUACAAAUGAUAUCAGGGAAAUAACUUUCGUUAUAAACCAUAAGUGAUGGAUUAGAUGGUAAGGUUCACUUCCAGAGGAGAGGCUUCUAAGGUGGAAUUUCAAUUCACGCAGGAGGGUAAGACUGGGAAGUUCUUGUAGGCAAGGCAUCUUAGAGGAACAGUAAGAGCCACCCCUACUCUGGCUCCACUCCUACCAGAUAAAGAGAUGUUUGGAACAUGAGAUCCUGGAGGAAUUGUCUUUUUCUUAGGGCCUGGAAAGAAUGAGUAUGACACUGCUAGACGGAAUUGUAGGGCACCAAUAUAUUUGGCUCUCAAAAGGGAGAAUGGUUUAUUUAGAAGCCAGUUUUCCCCAAAGAGUUCUUUCCGUUGUGAUAAGGGGAUGCUAGAAAGUGGGUUGGGCUAGUGGUUGCAGAACAAGUGGGUACAGUAUCAGUAUGUGUCACCCCUGGUAGAGGGAUGGUCCUGCCUGAGGUUAACCACCAACUUAACACCAGACACCUCCACCCACUUCCCAUGACUGGACACCCCAGGGGAGGGAAAAGGCCAAUUCAGAACUAACCGAGUUUAUACCUCAUUUGACUAAAAAACUCUGAAGUGCCUGAGAAAAAAAUCCUGGAAUUUACUUGAUUAAGUUGCUGCCAUCCAGCAACUAAGCUCAAUUAUAAAGAUGAAUAUUAUUUUACAUAUCUGAUUUUUCUCAGCUAAAAAUAUUGUGCUUACAAAGAUUACUGUAAUGUUAGUAAAUAUGCUCUAUUUCCUAUGCAGAUGUAUAAAAUGAUUCUGGAGCAUUUAUUGGAAACUAGAAUCAGCUUCAUAGACAGGAUUGUAAACUAUAAAGUCCCUUUAAUGGAAUAAUAAGGAGAAAUUAAUUGCCAUAUGUUGAUAUGCUCAGAAGUGUUUACAUAACCUAUUCAUUGACUGGAAAUUUUAAAAAUAAUUAAUGUUUCAAGUAAGAAAUCACCAAUAGCAGAAGUUCAACAAUAUCAUCACAAAAACCUCCAGGAUUUUGCCUGUCAGUUUCUAGAAAUGCUCACUUAAGAGAGCAUAUUCUAUUCUGUGAAUGCAUUUAGAGUGUUUGGAGCUGAUUUUAUGACAUCCUAACUUUCUUCAUAGUUGUAAGACCUUGGAGAGAAUCAUUGAAUUACAUUUUUGAAUAAAAUACUUUUUUUUUGCUUUUCUUUUUAAAGCAAUUGAAUCUAAUUUUUUAUUGCACUAAAAGUAUAACUCAUAUAAUUUGUAAGGAUUUCCCUGAAGGAUGCAUUUUUUUUUACAUACCUGGUAAUCAACCAUUUCUUCAAGGGCUUUGGAGGCAUCAAUGUUUUGAGUAUGGCUAAGACUUGGGUAGUUUUACCCAAUCACAGAACUCCCUAUGUUCACUUUAAGGCAUAUCAUAGAUCUAG
rnacentral:lncRNA from 1 species